GCCCCUGGCCGCGGCCAGAGCGGCUCUAACGCGGGGCAGCAGCCGGAGACUGACGCGGGCGCUGCAGGACAGAGACGCCCGGGCGCUGCUCCCCGCUCGGCCCCGGGGGACCUGCCCGGGGCGCUGCAGGAACCGGAGCCGGGAACGUGUCACCCUCGUUAUCCCCCAUCCCCGGCCCUGUGCCCGGGGGCGGCUCCUGCCCGGGCUGGAAGCGCCCCGCGCUGGGCCGAGCCCGGGCGGCUAUUCCGGGGCACAGGAAGCGGCGAGGGGAGAUCGGUGAGAUCAGAUCCUGCGCAGCUGCGGGGCGUGGGGAGCCGAGCCCGGGCUCUGCCCCGCUGGGGAGUGUGGCCAGCCCAGCCGGACUCUCUCCCUGGCCGGGAGUAGCCCCGGGCUCUAGAGACAUCAACGCCUGAGUGGAGACUGCAGGCUGCAGAAUAACGCCUGUGUUUCGCUCCAGCUCAUCCUACCCACAUGGGACAGGGAAGGGAAAUGGUUUCAGUGGAGCCAGUUCAGGGGCUGGUGACCUUCGAGGAGGUGGCUGUGUAUUUCACCGAGGAUGAGUGGGCUCUGCUG